UGGACAUCUUUUUGGUCUCUGAGA
rnacentral:piRNA from 2 species